rnacentral:rRNA from 1 species
AAGGGACCGGUGGCAGACGGCUGCGUAACACGUUGGAACCUGCCCCGAACUCAGGGAUAACCCGCCGAAAGGCGGGCUAAUACCGGAUGGUCUCGUAAGAGUAAAGCUUUUGCGGUUCGGGAGGGGCCUGCGGCCUAUCAGUUAGUUGGUGAGGUAACGGCUCACCAAGACGAUGACGGGUAGCUGAUCUGAGAGGAUGAUCAGCCAGAAUGGAACUGAGACACGGUCCAU